UUCUUAUCAAGAGAGGCUGAGGGAAUGGCCCUAUGAAGUCUCAGCAACCUUCAAUGUUGUUUUUCAUUGAAAAGGUGCUAAGUCCAUCAAGUUAUUUAUUAACUUGUGAGAUAAGAA
rnacentral:ncRNA from 2 species